AUUGAACGCUGGCGGCAGGCCUAACACAUGCAAGUCGAACGGCAGCACAGAAGAGCUUGCUCUUUGGGUGGCGAGUGGCGGACGGGUGAGUAAUGUCUGGGAAACUGCCCGAUGGAGGGGGAUAACUACUGGAAACGGUAGCUAAUACCGCAUAACGUCGCAAGACCAAAGUGGGGGACCUUCGGGCCUCACACCAUCGGAUGUGCCCAGAUGGGAUUAGCUAGUAGGUGGGGUAGUGGCUCACCUAGGCGACGAUCCCUAGCUGGUCUGAGAGGAUGACCAGCCACACUGGAACUGAGACACGGUCCAGACUCCUACGGGAGGCAGCAGUGGGGAAUAUUGCACAAUGGGCGCAAGCCUGAUGCAGCCAUGCCGCGUGUAUGAAGAAGGCCUUCGGGUUGUAAAGUACUUUCAGCGGGGAGGAAGGCGGCGAGGUUAAUAACCUUGCCGAUUGACGUUACCCGCAGAAGAAGCACCGGCUAACUCCGUGCCAGCCGCCGCAGUAA
rnacentral:rRNA from 1 species